AUGAACGCUGGCGGCGUGCCUAAUACAUGCAGGUCGAGCGAACGGACGAGAAGCUUGCUUCUCUGAUGUUAGCGGCGGACGGGUGAGUAACACGUGGAUAACCUACCUAUAAGACUGGGAUAACUUCGGGAAACCGGAGCUAAUACCGGAUGAUAUUUUGAACCGCAUGGUUCAAAAGUGAAAGACGGUCUUGCUGUCACUUAUAGAUGGAUCCGCGCUGCAUUAGCUAGUUGGUAAGGUAACGGCUUACCAAGGCAACGAUGCAUAGCCGACCUGAGAGGGUGAUCGGCCACACUGGAACUGAGACACGGUCCAGACUCCUACGGGAGGCAGCAGUAGGGAAUCUUCCGCAAUGGGCGAAAGCCUGACGGGGCAACGCCGCGUGAGUGAUGAAGGUCUUCGGAUCGUAAAACUCUGUUAUUAGGGAAGAACAUAUGUGUAAGUAACUGUGCACAUCUUGACGGUACCUAAUCAGAAAGCCACGGCUAACUACGUG
rnacentral:rRNA from 1 species